rnacentral:lncRNA from 1 species
UGGAUCUUGCAGUAAGCUGAGAUCGCGCCACUGCACUCCAGCGUGGGCAACACAGUGAGACUCUGUCUCAAAAAGAAAAAAAAAAAAGAAAAUUGUCAAAACACAACCAAUAGAUAAUGUUAACAUGCCAGAGGGCGGAGGUUGCAGUGAGCCGAGAUCGCGCCAUUUCACUCCAGCCUGGGUGAAAGUUUACAAAUACGGGCUAACUGUAAUGUGUUACUUGUGUUGUGAGUUGACCUGCGGAACAAUGAUGAGACCAUGUGGCAAGGCCUGUGUGUGUGUAGGCUGACUACUACUGGAUAUGUAAUUCAGAAGCCAGUCUAAAGUACCAUUUUGCCUUUCCUAUUAGCAAUGUAUGAAAGUUCCAGUAACAAAUCCACACCUGUACUCCUGAAUCUAAAACAAAAGUUAAAAAAGAAAGCUACUAAAAAUACGAAAAUUAGCUGUGCGUGUGGCGUGUGCCUGUAAUCUCAGCUACCCGGGAGGCUGAGGCAGGAGAAUCACUGGAGGUUUUUGCCACGUUGGCCAGGCUGGUCUUGAAUUCUGACCUCAGGUGAUCCACCCACCUCAGCCUCCCAAAGUGCUGAGAUUACAGGUGUGAGCCACCAUGCCCAGCCACUCUUACUAUGUACAAUAGAAUCAGAAAUAUUAAAAGCUUAGAGAGAAACUUAAUGAGCAAUAUGUAAGAUGAAAAAAAAAAAAAGGAGAGUAAUAUUUCAUGACAUGUGAAAAUUAUAUGCAAUUUAAAUUUGUGUCCAUAAAUAAAGUUUUGGAUUUUGGCAAUUAAAAAUUUGUGGAGGUGGCCAGGCGCGGUGGCUCACACCUGUAAUCCCAGCACUUUGGGAGGUCAAGGUGGGUGGAUCACAAGGUCGGGAGUUCGACACCAGCCUGACCAACAUGGCAAAACACCAUCUCUACUAAAAAUACAAAAAUUAGCUGGGCAUGGUGGCAUAUGCCUGUAAUCCCAGCUACUCGGGAGCCUGAGGCAGGAGAAUUGCUUGAACCUGGGAGGCGGAGGUUGCAGUGAGCCGAGAUCGCGCCACUGCACUCUAGCCUGGGAGACAGUGAGAAUCCAUCUUAAAAAAAAAAAAAAAUUGUAGCGUUCAGGUGCAGUGGCUCACGCCUGUAAUCCCAGCACUUUGGGAGACUGAGGAGGGAGGACUGCUUGAAGCCAGGAGUUCCAGACCUUAUCUCUAAAAAAAGGAAAAACAAAGGGGAAAUUUUUCAUCUCUCUUUUAUAUAAACUCCUAUAUAAUUAACUGGUCAUUCAGUAAAGAAAGGCAAUGAUAAAACCACAUUUGUUAAGCCUCCACUGUGGCCCAAACAGUAUUUAUUCAGUGUGAAAGGGCCACUUGCAUUCUCUCACAACUCACUCACUGAUGCACCCAGAAAUUCAGUCCCACAAGCUCCAUUCAUGGCAAGUAUCUUAUACCGGUGUGCCAUUUUUUAAUAUUUUAUACAGUAUUUUUACUGUACCUUUGCUAUGUUUAGAUACACAAACACCACUGUGUUAUAAAUGCCUACAGAGUUCGAGACCAGCCUGGUCAAAUGGCGAAACCAUCUGUACUAAAAACACAAAAAUCAGCCAAGUGUGGUGGCAUAAUCCCAGCUACCAGGGAGGCUGAGGCAGCAGAAAUGCUUGAACCCGGGAGACAGAAGUUGCAGUAAGCCAAGAUCGCACCACUGUACUCCAGCGUGGGCAACAGAGCAACACUUCAUCUCAAAAAAAAAAAAAUUCUCCCCCAGUGGAGUGCAGUGGCUCAUGCCUAUAAUCCUAGCACUUUUGGAGGCUGAGGCGGGGGGAUCACAAGGUCAGGAGAUCGAGACCAUCCUGGCUAACACGGUGAAACCCCAUCUCUACUAAAAAUACAAAAAAUUAGCC